CUGAAAUAUGUGUGCAUAUGAGUCACCCUGACUCAGUAUCUGCUUGCCUGAACUAUUAUUUUCUCAGUCAGAUCUCGCUUUGUGAAAUAGAAAAAGUAGAUCGUGGAGAAGCAUGGCCAUCACACUGUCCUGGAAACAGCUCUGUAGCUGAUUAGGCACAUAGUCACUUUCUGGUUUCAGGGAGUGAAAGUGUCAGGGACACACAAACCUGGUGUAAAAGGCUGAGGAAGAAAUGGAACAGCUAAGGGGAUUUCCCACAUGUGGAUAUUGUGAAACCUGCAGAAUCACAGAAGGGCCAAGAAGAAAAUAAUAUGCCUCUGCUUCCCCUUCCAGAAGUCAGGAAGAAAGGAGGACUAAGUGACGAGGGCAAGAUGGAACAGUCUCAGUUGGCCAAAAAAGACCAAAUCCCUCAAUGAGCUCAAGUGAAAAGGAGGUGGGACAUUCCUUAAUCUACUUAAAGGACCGCCAUGUUGAUGGGGAGUUGACUUGUUCUUUGUGAUCCCAGAAGAAAUUGCCGGGGCCACUAGAGGUCAUGAUCUCAAGAUUGUGGAAUCGAGCCCCACAUCAGGCUCUGCGCUGAGCGUGGAGCCUGCUUGGAAUUCUCUCUCUCUUCCUCUGCCCCUGUCCCCCGCUUGUGCUCCC